rnacentral:rRNA from 1 species
GACGUAGGGCGCGAGCGUUGUCCGGAUUUAUUGGGCGUAAAGAGCUCGUAGGCGGCUUGUUGCGUCGUUCGUGAAAUCCCGUGGCUCAACUGCGGGCUUGCGGACGAUACGGGCAGGCUAGAAUUCGGUAGGGGAGACUGGAAUUCCUGGUGUAGCGGUGAAAUGCGCAGAUAUCAGGAAGAACACCUAUGGCGAAGGCAGCUCUCUGGGACGGUACUGACGCUGAGACGCGAAAGCGUGGGGAGCGAACAGG